UCUGAUUCUGAUUCUGAUAUCAUAAUGACAACAGAAACUACUCAAGAAAUCCUAAAUUAUGCCAGGGCAUGUCUCCUUAUGAGCACAACUUUAAAUGAUGUGUGUUUUGUGUCAGAUGUGUCAAGAGUCCUGCUUGAAGCUUGAUAUGAUGAUUUCAGCGCAUUUAUUUUGUAGUUCACCUCUGAAUUUUGAGGAAAUGUCUCUUCAAAAUGUCUACGCUUCGUCUUAUAAUGCCAUUUCAUAUUGGAAAUCUUCAGCACAGCUGUGGUGGUUGGAGGGUGAGUGAAUGAAUGCAAAAGUCUCACUCUAUUCUUCUUUCAACCGCUGAUUUUCACCAACCACUUUUCUUUGAGCAGCCAACUGUGAACACACCGUUUUCGUGCAUUCUAGUGUCCUACAGCUGGCAAAGUGCCAGUAUGAACUGCUCCACAAACGAAAAUGAAAGUUAAAAAUUGCACUCGCAGCAGUGGACAAUAACAGCCUGUCUGGGUAUCGUUGACAUGGAGACCCGGAAUGCAGUCGACAGGAAUAAGUGUGUUUGUGCGUCCUCUCACAGUUGUCUCGUGGCUCCAAACUACUCAGACAGAAAUGGCUACACGUUCACGUUUCAUUUAUGUCUACAAUCAACACCUGCAUAGACAGAAUAAAGUACCUCAGAAAUAGCAUCAACCCUGUAUUUGGUUUCAUCCAGAAGAAGCUGCUUGAGAUCGUCUCUGUACAACAGGUCGAGAUGCAGAGGAAAAUCUCUUCCUUCAUUAAAUAAAGAACAGAAAGCCCCUGGGCCUGAUAAUGGAAGAGUUGGUCUCAUAGGAAGAGAGCAACGCGGCGUCCACAGGCUCCAUGCAGGAGGGGCAGGUGAAGGAUCUCAUCAGCCAGUCAUCUAUACAGUCCAUGUGGUAGAUGUGCAUGCAAGGCAGGAACCGGAUGGGGUCUCCAUAUACAAAGUCCAUCAUGCAAAUGACACACCUGUGAAGAGAAAUAUGGACACUCAGUACUAUGCAGCAGUGCAUGCACACUAAUAAAGAAAAUGGUCUGACAUUGUUUGACUUUACUUUACAACAGCAGGUUUUGUGGAAACAAAUAUGACACAGGAAUGUACUUGAACAAAUAUAUUUUGUUUGUAUGAUUGAUAAUAUACAUAAUUCUGGUUCCAGACAGAGAGUUUAAAUAAUUCCAAUAAAAAAACUU